UACAGAGGUCUCAAGCGUUGUUCGGAAUCACUGGGCUUAAAGGGCGCGUAGGCGGUCCGCCAAGUCAGGGGUGAAAUCCUGCAGCUUAACUGUAGAAGUGCCUCUGAUACUGGCGGUCUUGAGGGAAAUAGGGGUGUGCGGAACUUCCAGUGGAGCGGUGAAAUGCGUUGAUAUUGGAAGGAACGCCGGAGGCGAAAGCGGCGCACUGGAUUUCUUCUGACGCUGAGGCGCGAAAGCUAGGGGAGCAAACGGGG
rnacentral:rRNA from 1 species